rnacentral:misc_RNA from 1 species
GAUGAAGAACGCAGCGAAAUGCGAUAAGUAAUGUGAAUUGCAGAAUUCAGUGAAUCAUCGAGUCUUUGAACGCACAUUGCGCCCCCUGGUAUUCCGGGGGGCAUGCCUGUCCGAGCGUCAUUGCUGCCCUCAAGCACGGCUUGUGUGUUGGGCCCCCGCCCCCCGGCUUCGGGGGGCGGGCCCGAAAGGCAGCGGCGGCACCGCGUCCGGUCCUCGAGCGUAUGGGGCUUCGUCGCCCGCUCUGUAGGCCCGGCCGGCGCCCGCCGGCGACCCCAAUCAAUCUUUCCAGGUUGACCUCGGAUCAGGUAGGGAUACCCGCUGAACUUAAGCAUAUCAAUAAGCGGAGGA